rnacentral:rRNA from 1 species
AUUGAACGCUGGCGGCAGGCCUAACACAUGCAAGUCGAGCGGAGCGGCGGACGGGUGAGUAAUGCCUAGGAAUCUGCCUGGUAGUGGGGGAUAACGUCCGGAAACGGGCGCUAAUACCGAAUACUAUCAGAUGAGCCUAGGUCGGAUUUGCUAGUUGGUGGGGUAAAGGCCUACCAAGGCGACGAUCCGUACCUGGUGUGAGAGGAUGAUCAGUCACACUGGAACGGAUACACGUGCCGGACUCCUACGGGAGGCAGCAGUGGGUAAUAUGGGACAAUGGUCGAAAGCCUGAUCCAGCCAUGCCGCGUGUGUGAAGAAGGUCUUCGGAUUGUAAAGCACUUUAAGUUGGGAGGCGUUACCAACAGAAUAAGCACCUGCUAACUGCGUGCCAGCAGCCGCGGUAAUAC